UACGGGGGGGGCAAGCGUUGUUCGGAAUUACUGGGCGUAAAGGGCGCGUAGGCGGCCCUCUAAGUCAGACGUGAAAUCCCUCGGCUCAACCGGGGGACUGCGUCUGAUACUGGAGGGCUUGAAUCCGGGAGAGGGAUGUGGAAUUCCAGGUGUAGCGGUGAAAUGCGUAGAUAUCUGGAGGAACACCGGUGGCGAAGGCGGCAUCCUGGACCGGUAUUGACGCUGAGGCGCGAAAGCUAGGGGAGCAAACGGG
rnacentral:rRNA from 1 species